rnacentral:rRNA from 1 species
UACGAAGGGUGCAACCGUUGCUCGGAAUCAUUGGGCGUAAAGCGCACGUAGGCGGCCCCAUAAGUCGGAUGUGAAAUCCCUCGGCUCAACCGAGGAAGUGCAUCCGAAACUGCGGGGCUCGAGUAUGGAAGAGGGUCGCAGAAUUCCCGGUGUAGAGGUGAAAUUCGUAGAUAUCGGGAGGAAUACCAGUGGCGAAGGCGGCGACCUGGGCCAAUACUGACGCUGAGGUGCGAAAGCGUGGGGAGCAAACAGG